AUGCCGCCCCCUCCCAAGAAUGCAGUGGGAGGCUGGACCCUGAGCUGCAUGAACAGUUGUGGAGGGACUGGGUGGAUCUCAGGAGGGUUUGUGUAUGGGGCUGAAUCAUGGUGUGUUUUCUUUGGCCUUGGCACCUGGUUGACCAUCCUUGGUCAGCCCAAGGCUGGCCUGUCAGUCACUCUGUUCCCACCAUCCCCUGAGGAGCUCAAAACCAACAAAGCCACACUGUUGUGUCUUGUCAAUGACUUCUACCCAGACAUAAUUACAAUGGCCUGGAAGGCAGACAGCUCCCCUGCCAUCCAAGGUGUGGAGACCACCAAAUCCUCCAAACAGAGAAAUAUUAAGUAUGUGGUCAGCAGCUACCUGACCCUGACACCUGAACAGUGGACAUCUUGCAGCAACUACAGCUGCCAGAAAAUGCACAAAGGAAGCACUGUGGAGAAGACAGUGGCCCAUGCAUGGUGUCUUUAG